UUCAGCCUGGAGAGUAAAACGGAUAUGUUAGAACUGUGAAACAUACAGUACCAAUGCUUGGAAACACUCCUGUCAGUUAUCAAGAAUGAUCAAGCAAUAGCAUCAAGAGCAACUAUGCAAAACAGGACAGACAGGAUUCUUACCGAGAAAUGAAGGUUAUGCCUUCAGAUUCAGAUAAUGACAACACAAGCCUGGAGUGUUCCAAAAGAAUGUAGGUAUCUACAGUUCACUGGAGUGGAUCUGGUGAGGGUAAAAAUGGAAGGGCCCCAUAUUAAAUGUCCUUUGGCACAACAAACUGGAUGGAGUUCAGAUAACUCUCAUUAUCAACCAGCAAGAUGGAACCUUUUAGGCCCACAACAAUAUAAUGAGUAUCUAAGUAUCAACCAGCCUAUUGAAAACCAUCUGCUAGGCACCGGAGCAGACCUCCUAACUGCAGCAAGCACAGCAGGUCAGAAUGAGCCUGGGACAGGAGCAGGACAAGAGCGAGACUGAGAAAGACAGACCAUGGGAGAAAGGAUUUCAGAUACAUAUGGUGUUAAAAUAAUACUUUCUUGUUCAAAUGCUAAUUCUGUUCUGCCAUUCAGUGUACUUCUAACACUAAAGUACAAUAAUGGAGUCACUCAGGGAAAGGAUGUCUGUAUAUGGCCACGAACUCAUCUCAUCCACUCAAUUAGGCCAAGCAGCAGAGAACAGACAGCUCUCUCAUAGAGGAGACAGAAGAAAAAGGCAGCCAGACAAUGUCUGUAUUUAGCUCUUCGUCUGUCUCCUGAUUUCUGCUACUCUGCUUGAUGCUGCUGGUCUGUCUCUCUCUCUCUCUCUCUCUCUCUCUCUUUCUGUAUGUGUGUGCUGGUGACGUGGUGGGGCUGGGCCUCUACAGACAUCCGCAGCCCAGAGGAAGUCAGAUCUGGUGGAAGGGAUGAGGGGGUGGGUGAGAAAGUAAAGCUCCUGGGAUGGUGAGAGUCCUUUGGGCCAGCCCCCUCAUGCUUACUGCAAAGUAAACUAACUGUGCAUGUCCUGUCCACUGCAUGUAGGAGGCCCUCCUCCACUUUCCAUUGUCAUCACACUCCGGUUCACUGCCAGAACGCAAAGACAAGAUGCCAGCAACAGAGGUAGCAGUGAGGAAAUCUGAACAUGCUGCCUUUUUCUAGAAUGGCUAAAAUGUGUGUGGAUAUAUUUACAUGUGUAAAGUAAUUGGUCAUCUCACUGGAGUAUGCAUCUGUGUGUAUGAAGGCCUGGGCAGUCCAUUAUACCAAGGGGCCAGUUAAGGGUUAACCCACUUUUCAAGACUCCUAAUGCUUAGCCUUUACCCUACACCACUAUAGUUCUCUUAUCUGUGUUACCAUCAUUCCCCACACCAUGGCUGUUCCCUUCCUAUAUCCCUUUUUUUUACUUU
ensembl:lncRNA